rnacentral:lncRNA from 1 species
GCGUAGACUUGUAACGAUGGGGAUGGCCCCGUCGGACGGCAAAAAUAAACCCCAAUGUGGGCAAGGUCGAAGGCCCGAUUAUUUAUAGACCGAAUGGGGGGAGAGGCCAUGCAGCACCCAUAUGCGCCCCCACAGCCAUGUUAGGGACAGGAGGAGAACCUCGCCCUAACAUGAGCAAGGUUGAAGGCCCGAUUAUUUGUAGAUCGGAUGGGGGGAGAGGCCAUACAAUGCCCAUAUGUGCCCCCACAGCCAUGUUAGGGAUAGGAGGAGAACCUCGUCCUAAUAUGAGCAAGGUUGAAGGCCCGAUUCUUUAUAGACCGGAUGGGGGGAGAGGCCAUACAGCGCCCAUAUGUGCCCCCACAGCCAUGUUAGGGAUAGGAGGAGAACCUCGCCCUAACAUGAGCAAGGUCGAAGGUCCGGUUAUUUGUAGAUCGGAUGGGGGGAGAGGCCAUACAGCGCCCAUAUGCACCCCCACAGCCAUGUUAGGGACAGGAGGAGAACCUCGCCCUAACAUGAGCAAGGUCGAAGGCCCGAUUGUUUGUAGAUCAGAUGGGGAGAGAGGCCAUGCAGCACCCAUAUG